rnacentral:sRNA from 1 species
AAAGUCAAGGAAGUCGGUUCAGCGAUGACUUGAGAAACGCAGCCACAGACGUGUUCAGAAAAAAAUGAAACUUGACAUGAAUUGCCGUAUUAUGGAAAGAUUGCGAUUGAUGCGACAACAUAGUGUUUUAUGUGAUCUUGAAGUUUUUUCCAAUGACGGUGUAAAAAGACGUAUUCAUAGUUGUGUAUGGGUUGCAGCGUUUGAGGAAUGCCGAAAUCUGCUAUCAAACAAAUAUAAAGGAUGUGAAAAUAAAUUAUCCAAGAUAGAACUAUCCAAAGUUGAUGCAGACAUGUUGUCAACAAUUAUAGAUUUUAUAUAUGGGGAAGAAAUAAGUUCCAUUCCUGUUGGACUUGAUGGUGCUUUAAAAGAACUUGGAUUUCAAGAUUUUAAGUGUUAUCUUAACAGUGGUUUAUCUGAUUACAUGUGUAACCAACGAAGUCCAGAAAACUGUUCAGCUAAUGACAAUGACAAGCUAAAAAUUCAGCAAAUUUCAGAGAACACAUCUACAAACUUGUACCCAGAUUCACAUCAUGAUGAAAAUUUGCAGUUAAAAGAUGAAAUAGUUGAGGACAACACAGUCAGUUCAGCAUUGCCGUCUUGUACUCAAAAUGAUAUACAACAAACAAUAGAAUCAACUGAAAAUUACAUGUCUUCAGUACACGUUAAACUUGAACCUGUUGAGUCCAUGGAAGACACUUGGAAUACAAGUGAACAAACCAAUGACCAAAUGGGAAACAUUCAGAUUUUUUCAAAGCAAGAGGCAGAUGAUCAGACAGUAACAGUAUGUGUUAAGUAUGAUUGUGCAAUGAAUAGUGAUGAUGGAGAGGAACUUACUUGUGAAAAGCAGUUGCAAUGUCAACCUUCCAUCUCAGCAGGAAAAUCGGUUGAGAAAGAUAAAGAAAUACUAAAUAAUCUAACGAAAGAAGUACCAAUACCACAACAAAGCAAUGCUGUUUACAUAGCAUCAAACUCAUUGCCAAUUAUGAAACCAUCAACAACUUCAGAAUCUGGUCAGAUUGCAAAGAAUCCCCCUAUAUUGCCAAAAUUUUCAAGUAAUCAAGGAGAUAUAGUCACUGUAGCUACUUUCCUUAGUUUUGCAGAGCUACAGAAACAAGGAAAGAGUUGGAAAUUGCAGGAAAACCUUGUUCCUAUUCCCAUGUCAGGCAAUUCUGUAGAUACUUUUAACAAACUACCAAUAUUUCCACAAAAUUCACAAUCAAAAUGCGUGGGAGAGAAAAAAAGUCGUGGAAGGCCAAAAGUUCCAGAGACUGAGAAAGUUAAAGUCUCAAACAAGAGUCAGAAGAAGAGUACUGUAAACAAAGGACCAAGAAAUUCCACACCAAAAGCAGCCACAGUGAACCACAAUAAAGUGAACCCGGAUGCAAAAACUUCAACAUCCUUUACAGCUGUUGGUCAAAAUAAUGUUUUAUUAACAAGCAGUUGUGGUACUUCUACAACACAUUCAGUUCAAGUGCCAAUGGUUAUGCAAUCACAAAACAUCACUAAGUGCACCAGUGUUAUAAACAAUAGAACAGUUGUGACCUCAAAUGUGCAACCAAAGUUACCAAUACCAAUGAAUCAUUCAUCCGCUCCAACCCCUGUAAGGAUUGGUCAACCAGGAAAUGGAAUUUUCCAUACCAUGAUUCCAUGUGUUGAUUUCAAUGACUCCAUUCCUAUUGGGUGUAUACAUUCUGUAGCUCCAAGAAUUCAUUCCAAUUUGCUUUUAGCUCCAAAAUCUAGUAUUAGUGAAUGCAUUCCACAACAAAGCCUGGCUAGCAAAGAUUCAAAGCAAGGAAUUGGAGGAAACACCCUGUUUAGUAUUCCAACAAGCAAUCAAUAUAUCAUUACUGGUAAUUCUGGUCAAGUGACUCAAGUCUUUCCAGCAUCUUCAAUGCCAAUUACCUCAACAUUGCAACCAAACCUGUUGAAUACAGUUAGUGCUCCAAAACCAAGUAUAAAGCAAAAGGCAAUGGGUAAAAGUUUAUCCGCUCCAAUUCUUCCAAAGAAGUAUUCACCAGUGAAUGUCCAUAAAAGUGUUCAAACCUACAGGGAAAUAAAACCGAAAUUAAGAAAUCCCUCAUUUAUUGCAAGUAAUGCUGAUAAUACGAAAUCCAAAGACAGAGAGCUCAGGAAUCCAGAGCAUGGGAACAAGAGUCUUGAGUUACCAAAGUCCCCAAACCAACGAUCGAAGCAACCUGAAACUAUAAACCAUGAAGAUGCAAAACCAAUGAGGAAACCUAGAAAACGUACUAGAUCACUACAAAACAACAAAACGCUUUUGAAUGAGCCACUUGACAAGUACAUUUUAGAUAAUGUCAAGAAAACUAAAAGGAAUGUUUCCAGUACUUUGAAAAUAAAAAUGAAUGCUAUUAAUCCACAAUCAAGAUUUAUGAAGCGUAAAAACCCCAAAGACAUGGUUGCUGAGUUAUUUAAGAAUUCCACAGUAGCAGAAUUUCAAAGCACCCCAAAGAAAACUUGACUCCAACAAAACAAUUGAUGAUCUCUCAUUAUUCUUGUCUAGUCAAAUUUGAACUUGAUUGAGUGAUAUAGAGCUGUGACCAAAAAUUUUUAAAGUCAAUCAAAAUGUACUCAAAAUGUAUUCCAUGUACUCAGUAUUGCUAAAAUCAAUACUUUCCAAGUUCUUGACAUUUACAUUUACUUAUAUUUAUGUUGACUUCAUGUCAAUUUAUAGUUUACAAUGAUGUAUGUUUAUGUAUUAUAAUUUUUUUUUUAAUUGUUAGUGUUUACAAAUAAAAAAAUCACAUUCAUGAU